GAUGAACGCUGGCGGCGUGCCUAAUACAUGCAAGUCGAGCGGCAGCGCGGUCUUCGGACUGGCGGCGAGCGGCGGACGGCUGAGUAACGCGUAGGAACGUACCCUAAAGUGAGGGAUAACUGCUCGAAAGAGUAGCUAAUACCGCAUGUGCUCUACGGAGUAAAGCUUCGGCGCUUUGGGAACGGCCUGCGUAAGAUUAGCUUGUUGGUGAGGUAAAAGCUCACCAAGGCGACGAUCUUUAGCUGGUCUGAGAGGAUGAUCAGCCAGACUGGGACUGAGAACGGCCCAGACUCCUACGGGAGGCAGCAGUAGGGAAUUUUCCACAAUGGGCGAAAGCCUGAUGGAGCAACGCCGCGUGCAGGAUGAAUGCCUUCGGGUUGUAAACUGCUUUUCUCUGUGACGAUUAUGACGGUAGCAGAGGAAUAAGGACCUGCUAACUACGUGCCAGCCGCCGCCGUAAAAC
rnacentral:rRNA from 1 species